AUUGAACGCUGGCGGCAGGCUUAACACAUGCAAGUCGAGCGGUAGCACAGGGGAGCUUGCUCCCUGGGUGACGAGCGGCGGACGGGUGAGUAAUGUCUGUGAAACUGCCUGAUGGAGGGGGGUAACUACUGGAAACGGUAGCUAAUACCGCAUAACGUCGCAAGACCAAAGAGGGGGACCUUCUGGCCUCUUGCCAUCAGAUGUGCCCAGAUGGGAUUAGCUAGUAGGUGGGGUAAUGGCUCACCUAGGCGACGAUCCCUAGCUGGUCUGAGAGGAUGACCAGCCACACUGGAACUGAGACACGGUCCAGACUCCUACGGGAGGCAGCAGUGGGGAAUAUUGCACAAUGGGCGCAAGCCUGAUGCAGCCAUGCCGCGUGUGUGAAGAAGGCCUUCGGGUUGUAAAGCACUUUCAGCGAGGAGGAAGGUGGUGAGCUUAAUACGUUCAUCAAUUGACGUUACUCGCAGAAGAAGCACCGGCUAACUCCGUG
rnacentral:rRNA from 1 species